CAGCAGCCGCGGUAAUACGUAGGUGCGAGCGUUGUCCGGAUUUAUUGGGCGUAAAGGGCUCGUAGGCGGUUGAUCGCGUCGGAAGUGGAAACUUGAUGCUUAACGUUGAGCGUGCUUUCGAUACGGGUUGACUUGAGGAAGGUAGGGGAGAAUGGAAUUCCUGGUGGAGCGGUGGAAUGCGCAGAUAUCAGGAGGAACACCAGUGGCGAAGGCGGUUCUCUGGACCUUUCCUGACGCUGAGGAGCGAAAGCGUGGGGAGCGAACAGGCUUAGAUACCCUGGUAGUCCACGCUGUAAACGGUGGGUACUAGGUGUGGGGUCCAUUCCACGGAUUCUGUGCCGUAGCUAACGCAUUAAGUACCCCGCCUGGGGAGUACGGCCGCAAGGCUAAAACUCAAAGGAAUUGACGGGGCCCCGCACAAGCGGCGGAGCAUGCGGAUUAAUUCGAUGCAACGCGAAGAACCUUACCUGGGUUUGACAUGGAUCGGGAGCUUCCAGAGAUGGUUGUGCCUCUUUUGGGGUCGGUUCACAGGUGGUGCAUGGCUGUCGUCAGCUCGUGUCGUGAGAUGUUGGGUUAAGUCCCGCAACGAGCGCAACCCUCGUCCACUGUUGCCAGCAAUUCGGUUGGGGACUCAGUGGAGACCGCCGGGGUCAACUCGGAGGAAGGUGGGGAUGACGUCAAGUCAUCAUGCCCCUUAUGUCCAGGGCUUCACGCAUGCUACAAUGGCCGGUGCAGUGAGUUGCGACAUCGUAAGGUGGAGCGAAUCUCAAAAAGCCGGUCUCAGUUCGGAUUGGGGUCUGCAACUCGACCUCAUGAAGUCGGAGUCGCUAGUAAUCGCAGAUCAGCAACGUGCGGUGAAUACGUCCCGGGCU
rnacentral:rRNA from 1 species